rnacentral:lncRNA from 1 species
ACAGCUACACUGGUUUUUCAUCACCCGAAUCUCGGGACGAGAUUUUUUUAAGGGGGUAGGCUCUAACAUCCCUAGUAAUUAGCAAGACAAAUCAAGAAUAAUCACAGUGAUUAAGCAAAAAACUCAAAUUGCCACUUGUUAAAUUCAAAUGCACUUGAAUUGAUCUAAGUGUUGAAAACACCACUAAAAGGCACUUUCAUUGGAUAGGAAUUAAAAACAAAAUUUUAUAUAAGAACUUAA